UACAGAGGUCUCAAGCGUUGUUCGGAUUCAUUGGGCGUAAAGGGUGUGUAGGUGGCGCGCUAAGUCGGGUGUGAAAUUUCGGAGCUUAACUCCGAAACUGCAUUCCAUACUGCGGUGCUUGAGGACUGGAGAGGAGACUGGAAUUCAUGGUGUAGCAGUGAAAUGCGUAGAGAUCAUGAGGAAGACCAGUGGCGAAGGCGGGUCUCUGGACAGUUCCUGACACUGAGGCACGAAGGCCAGGGGAGCAAACGGG
rnacentral:rRNA from 1 species